rnacentral:misc_RNA from 1 species
UUUCCGUAGGUGAACCUGCAGAAGGAUCAUUGUCGUGACUCUGACCAAAACAAACCGCGCACGCAUCCUCCAAUCCUCCGGCGACGACAUCGUCCGUCACUCGGCCAAUUCCUCGACCACCUCCCCUCAUCGGAGUGGGGGCUCAGGGUAAAAGAACCCAUGGCGCCGAAGGCAUCAAGGAACACUGUAUAUAACCCGGGGGCGUGGCUAGCUUGCUGGCCAUCCCCUAUGUUGCAAAGCUAUUUAAGCCACACGACUCUCAGCAAUGGAUAUCUCGGCUCUC